rnacentral:rRNA from 1 species
UACGAAGGGGGCUAGCGUUGCUCGGAAUUACUGGGCGUAAAGGGCUCGUAGGCGGCCAACUAAGUCGGAUGUGAAAUCCCCAGGCUUAACCUGGGAACUGCAUCCGAUACUGGAUGGCUUGAAUCCGGGAGAGGGAUGCAGAAUUCCAGGUGUAGCGGUGAAAAUGCGUAGAUAUCUGGAGGAAUACCGGUGGCGAAGGCGGCAUCCUGGACCGGCAUUGACGCUGAUGAGCGAAAGCUAGGGGAGCAAACGGG